CCAGACCGCCAGCUAAGGUCCCAAAGUCAUGGUUAAGUGGGAAACGAUGUGGGAAGGCCCAGACAGCCAGGAUGUUGGCUUAGAAGCAGCCAUCAUUUAAAGAAAGCGUAAUAGCUCACUGGUCGAGUCGGCCUGCGCGGAAGAUGUAACGGGGCUAAACCAUGCACCGAAGCUGCGGCAGCGACACUGUGUGUUGUUGGGUAGGGGAGCGUUCUGUAAGCCUGUGAAGGUGUGUCGUGAGGCAUGCUGGAGGUAUCAGAAGUGCGAAUGCUGACAUAAGUAACGAUAAAGCGGGUGAAAAGCCCGCUCGCCGGAAGACCAAGGGUUCCUGUCCAACGUUAAUCGGGGCAGGGUGAGUCGACCCCUAAGGCGAGGCCGAAAGGCGUAGUCGAUGGGAAACGGGUUAAUAUUCCCGUACUUGGUGUUACUGCGAAGGGGGGACGGAGAAGGCUAUGUUGGCCGGGCGACGGUUGUCCCGGUUUAAGCGUGUAGGUGUGUGUUCCAGGUAAAUCCGGUUCACUUUAACACUGAGGCGUGACGACGAGGCACUACGGUGCUGAAGCAACAAAUGCCCUGCUUCCAGGAAAAGCCUCUAAGCAUCAGGUAACAUCAAAUCGUACCCCAAACCGACACAGGUGGUCAGGUAGAGAAUACCAAGGCGCUUGAGAGAACUCGGGUGAAGGAACUAGGCAAAAUGGUGCCGUAACUUCGGGAGAAGGCACGCUGACACGUAGGUGAAGUGAUUUACUCAUGGAGCUGAA
rnacentral:rRNA from 1 species